AAGCCAUAGUGUGCAUGUGUGUGUGUGCGUGUGUUUUCUUAUCAUCCAUCAUUUGACAACCAGGACAUAUUUUAGCUAUGUUUAUUUCACUUGAUGGUUAUUUCUUUCAAAGAAACCUUAAGACCAUAAGCUUUCAAAGUUGUGGCAUUUCCAAUUUUCAAGAAUUAGAAAUAUUCUGUCCAGACAUUCACAACAAAAAAAGAACAUAGAACGUUAGUAGUGAGUUGGUUUUAAAGUUGGAUGACUCUAAGAAUGGUCAGAUGGUUUCCGAGUUUAGAUUUCUUAAUUUAUUGAAAGAAUUCUGGAAAGUAAAUUCAUUCAAAUAUGGUCUUAACUUCAGUAUUUUUCUGACUCUGCUAUAUCUGACUCUCUGUCUACAGCUGUCUCUAAUAUUUGAUUCAAUAAUCUCUCUCUAUCUCUCUCUCUCUCUCUUAAUCUAUAUCUGACUCCAACACACACAUUACACAAAAUUGUUGACAGGUUAAACAUAAUAAAGUUCUCAAAAUCGU